rnacentral:rRNA from 1 species
GAUGAACGCUGGCGGCGUGCUUAACACAUGCAAGUCGAACGGAAAGGCCCAAGCUUGCUUGGGUACUCGAGUGGCGAACGGGUGAGUAACACGUGGGUGAUCUGCCCUGCACUUCGGGAUAAGCCUGGGAAACUGGGUCUAAUACCGGAUAGGACGAUGGUUUGGAUGCCAUUGUGGACAGUUUUUUCGGUGUGGGAUGAGCUCGCGGCCUAUCAGCUUGUUGGUGGGGUAAUGGCCUACCAAGGCGUCGACGGGUAGCCGGCCUGAGAGGGUGUACGGCCACACUGGGACUGAGAUACGGCCCAGACUCCUACGGGAGGCAGCAGGGGGGAAUAUUGCACAAUGGGCGCAAGCCUGAUGCAGCGACGCCGCGUGGGGGAUGACGGCCUUCGGGUUGUAAACUCCUUUCGCUAGGGACGAAGCGUUUUUGUGACGGUACCUGGAGAAGAAGCACCGGCUAACUACGUG